UACAGAGGUGGCAAGCGUUGUUCGGAAUUACUGGGCGUAAAGGGCGCGUAGGCGGCCUUCUAAGUCAGACGUGAAAUCCCCCGGCUUAACCUGGGAACUGCGUCUGAUACUGGGAGGCUAGAGUGCGGGAGAGGGAUGCGGAAUUCCAGGUGUAGCGGUGAAAUGCGUAGAUAUCGUAAGGAAGACCAGUGGCGAAGGCGGGUCUCUGGACAGUUCCUGACGCUGAGGCACGAAGGCCAGGGGAGCAAACGGG
rnacentral:rRNA from 1 species